rnacentral:rRNA from 1 species
GAUGAACGCUGGCGGCGUGCCUAAUACAUGCAAGUCGAGCGAACAGACGAGGAGCUUGCUCCUUUGACGGUAGCGGCGGACGGGUGAGUAACACGUAGGUAACCUACCUAUAAGACUGGGAUAACUUCGGGAAACCGGAGCUAAUACCGGAUAAUAUUUCGAACCGCAUGGUUCAAUAGUGAAAGAUGGCUUUGCUGUCACUUAUAGAUGGACCUGCGCCGUAUUAGCUAGUUGGUAAGGUAACGGCUUACCAAGGCAACGAUACGUAGCCGACCUGAGAGGGUGAUCGGCCACACUGGAACUGAGACACGGUCCAGACUCCUACGGGAGGCAGCAGUAGGGAAUCUUCCGCAAUGGGCGAAAGCCUGACGGAGCAACGCCGCGUGAGUGAUGAAGGUCUUCGGAUCGUAAAACUCUGUUAUUAGGGAAGAACAAAAGUGUAAGUAACUGUGCACGUCUUGACGGUACCUAAUCAGAAAGCCACGGCUAACUACGUG